rnacentral:lncRNA from 1 species
GGACUUCCACCACAGGCAUAUGGGAACGACUGUGGGAUCUUCAUGAUUAUGGUAUACUCAGUGACUGAGUAUACCAUAAUCAUGAAGAUCCCACAGUCACAGACUUAAAAUGUACCUAACAGAUAUAACAACGAGUGUGAAUGUUGUCACCAAUUACAUUUUUCCAUCACAGUACGCUUGGUACCUUGCCAUGGAGGCACCAUUCGACUUCACUGUUAAAGAAAUGCCAGUCCUCAGAAAAUGGUGGUGCACAGUACUACUGCUUGAGAACUUCCACCUGGAUGGGCACGGCAGAAGGUUCCCACGCUUCAUGGAGGAGGCCAAACAAAUGGCGGUUCGACUACCGUACUUCCACCAGUCUCAGACUGAAGCGAAAAAAAGAAUGAGUUGGAGCUGAUGGCAGUCAGCAUGAAGAAACUAUAUCUUAAAGCUUCUGUAGAUUAUUUGUUAAAUAAAUUGUGAGGAAACUUUGGUGUGGUUAUUCUUCAACUAAUUUAUUCUAUUUAUAUCAAACUAUGAUGAUAUACUCAACAAAAAAAUAAAUUUGAUUCUAUUAGACAUAUUAAAACAAAUACAUAAUUUCAAAG